rnacentral:rRNA from 1 species
GGUCAAGUGAAGAAGCGCAUACGGUGGAUGCCUUGGCAGUCAGAGGCGAUGAAAGACGUGGUAGCCUGCGAAAAGCUUCGGGGAGUCGGCAAAC